ACCUAGUUUUGGCGACCCGAUGAUGCCGGACACAGUGUAAGGCGAGGAUUGACCACGACAAGGAAUUGUGGCGUGUCAGCGGCAAAUUUCGAGUAGCACAACCACGACCGACUCUCCCCACGCCUGAGGAAGACCCCGGUAUCACCGACGACGCGAACAAUAGCUCAAUCGAGGAUUUCUAUGGCGAUGCGGACGCGGCGACACGAUGGUGGCUGUGGAGUAGUG
rnacentral:lncRNA from 7 species